rnacentral:rRNA from 1 species
UACGUAGGGUGCAAGCGUUGUCCGGAAUUAUUGGGCGUAAAGAGCUCGUAGGCGGUCUGUCGCGUCUGCUGUGAAAACUCAGGGCUUAACCCUGAGCUUGCAGUGGGUACGGGCAGACUAGAGUGCGGUAGGGGAGACUGGAAUUCCUGGUGUAGGGGUGAAAUGCGCAGAUAUCAGGAGGAACACCGGUGGCGAAGGCGGGUCUCUGGGCCGUAACUGACGCUGAGGAGCGAAAGCAUGGGGAGCGAACAGG